rnacentral:lncRNA from 1 species
CCCGUUUCACCUCACCCGGAUCUCGCCGGAGUCCGCCACCGCAGGAGCACCUCCGCCACUCGAUUUCAUCGCCACAGAAGGUUCCUAGCUUCUCCUUCUGCCCCUAUUCUCUUACCCAUGGUCUCGUCUCUCUCCCUCAUCUAUUAGUUCUCGCAGGGAAGCACCCACCCGAGUGCUUCGACCUCCGCCCCGACGAACACCGCCAUCGCCGCUCCAGCCGAACCUCACCUACGUUAGCAGAAGGCCCGGUCGUCCCGGAGGACGUUUUGGAGUUCUACGUGUCCCUCCUCGCCUCGUCCUGUUCUCCCCGAGCUCGGGAGGCCUCUCCAGCGACGCCAGCUUCAAAUCCGAGCCGCGCCGCCGCCGUCUCGUUCAAUUCCGGCCGGCAUACUCUGUUCCUCUCCGGUGAGUCAUCCCAUCCGUCCGAUCUCCCUCCGACGGUCUGGAUUAGAUCAGUGUUGUUCUUUUUCUAUAAACCGGUAUGCACUAUUUAGUGGACGUUCGUCGGUUAGCCACAGCAGCAAACAACCUCCAGCCAAUCAUCAUGCGACACGUGGCACGUCCACGGCAGCCGCGGCAGUUCUUCCCAGAACACUAUUAUGGCAUAAUUUUUCUUUGCAGAUUCCAUAUGAAAUUUUCAUUUAGGUUUAUCUUGACAUCCGGAACUCCAAAUUCAUCGAUUGUUUUUCCUGUGUACUCGUAGAGACCAGGAGAAUACCGCAGAACCAAAAUUUCACAUUGUUGAACUAUUCAAAUAUGAAGUUGUUUAAAUUUGAAUUCAAACUUCCGGAGGCCAUAUCUUUUAAACCAUUGAUCCAAUUCAGUUGAUUCUUUUUGCAUUGUGAUCCUGCCAGCAUGUAGAUGAUAUAUAUCUACUGAUAAGUUCUGUUAUUUAAGUUUUUAUUUGAAUUUGUUGCUUUUUACUUUAUUGUGGUGUUAUGGGAGUACGGUUUAUUUAUCGGUGCCUUCGUUAAUCGUAUAGAUUGUCCGGAGUGUGAAGCGGAUUAGAAUUGAGCAUUAGAGUACUUCAACAGCGUUCAAGGCAAGUUGCACUUUUUGAUUAUGCUCAUCUUAUAUUCUGUUAUGCAUGUGUGGUUUUAUGCUAUGAUAUAUGUGUUGGCCUGAUAUGUGUACCCCGUGUUGUCAUGUUUGGUAUUGAUUGUGUUCUGUGAUGGUGUGAUCAACUUGCUAUGGUAGACGUGGGCAUGUCUCGAGUGAUCCAUGAAAGUGGUGAGUGUUUAUAGCCGUAGGCUCGGGAUUAUUAACCAGGUGAAUGCGUCACUGGCAAAGCGCUCUAUUGCCCCUAGAGAAUGCGCCAUUGACAGAGCGCACUUGAGGCGAGGUAUAGUUUUCGGAACAUAAAUCAGGUGAAUGUGUCCUUGGCAGAGCGCUCUAUUGUUCCUAGAGAACGCGCCACUGACAGAGCGCACUUAAGACAUACUUCUGAAGUUCUUGUCAUGUUUAUUUAGAAUCUUUGGGUUAUCUUGGGCGAGUAAAUUAGAGACGGUUGUGAGUUCAGGUAGUGGAGGUAGGUGAAGACAUUCUUCUCCAAACUAACUUGUGUGUUUUGUUUGUCAUACAUUGCUUUGUGGAUGUAGGUUUGCUAUAUCAUUUUGUGUGAUUUGCCAAUACAUUCAAUGUAUUGACCCUUUGUGGCUGCAACUUAUCAUGUUGCAGGAUUUUCAGAUGAUCAGUGAGAUACAGUAGGGUCGCGAGCCUUCACUCGACAUAUUCUCUAGUGGGCAUUGAUGGACUCGUCGUUUAUUAUGCUACCUUUCCGCUGAUAUUAUUGAAUAAAGUUAGCUAUGUGCUACUCAGUUUGUAAUACUUUAUGAAUUCUGGAUCAUACGUUGUAGUAACUGAUGCACUUGUUAUUUGAUAUUCAUAUGUACUGUGUGUGCUAGCGAGUCGAUCCAGGGACUAGCACAGUGAGCACAGAGAAAUCGAAUCUUAU